rnacentral:lncRNA from 10 species
AACCUGACUACCCCUUAGGUGAGGGAGUCCAGAAUGCUGGCUUGAAAUGGGAGAGAGAAAGAACUGCCACAUAAUUUGCAAGAUCUUUUUUGAAAAAGAAAAGGUAUUAAGAAUUCCAGGACAGCAUUAGGAAUGUAUUAAACCAGGAUAAGGAACAGCGGAGCUUCCCCCUAAGACCCUGGUGUGUUUCUGCAUCAGGAAACCUUCUCUCCUGCAAUGUGGUGGCAUGCACCUAUCUUCUAGGAUGGAGCUCUAUGAGGAGAGAGACCCUACUAUUCACUUUUCUAUUUCCAGGCCACUGCAGACUGUCUCAUGGCGUUUAAGAUUGAACAACAUGGUGCCUUUGCCAGAAGUUAACAGGAAACCCAAAAGGAGAUGAGCCAGACUGGAAGAAGAUAGACAAAAACACCAGAGGAGCUGCUCCCAGAUGGAGUGGACUUGCCAUACAAAGCAAGAGAGUCCCAGCAGGGCAGGGAUCUGUAGUGGAUGGUGAUGCAGCACCCAGGAAACCUCAUCAGGAUGUAGCUACUCCUUCUCCCACUGCGGGUGGUACCAGCUGCUGAAGGCUCACAGCUGAGACUCUCUAAGGAAAGGGGACACAUAGCCCAGGUGAUGCCCACUCUCCAGGGACAGCCUGCACCAGUGACUAGACGC